rnacentral:rRNA from 1 species
GUCUCAGUUCGGAUUGUAGUCUGCAACUCGACUACAUGAAGCUGGAAUCGCUAGUAAUCGCAGAUCAGAAUGCUGCGGUGAAUACGUUCCCGGGUCUUGUACACACCGCCCGUCACACCAUGGGAGUCGGAAAUGCCCGAAGCCGGUGACCCAACCAAAAGGGAGGGAGCCGUCGAAGGCAGGUCUGAUAACUGGGGUGAAGUCGUAACAAGGUACC